UGGGGAUAUAGGUAAUAGGCGGCGAAGCCUGAUCCAGCCAUGCCGCGUGAGUGAUGAAGGCCUUAGGGUUGUAAAGCUCUUUCAGUAGGGAGGCGGUACCUACAGAAGAAGCCCCGGCUAACUUCGUGCCAGCAGCCGCGGUAAUACGAAGGGGGCGAGCGUUGUUCGGAUUUACUGGGCGUAAAGCGCACGUAGGCGGAUCUUAAGUGAGGGGGGAAAUCCCAGGCUCAACCUGGAACUGCCUCUCAUACUGGCGAUCUCGAGUCCGGAAGAGGUGAGUGGAACUCCAGUGUAGAGGUGGAAUUCGUAGAUAUUAGAAGAACACCAGUGGCGAAGGCGGCUUACUGUCCGGAACUGACGUGAGGUGCGAAAGCGUGGGAGCGAAACAGGAUUAGAUACCCCA
rnacentral:rRNA from 1 species